CAGCUCAGCUGGUAGAGUAUGACACUCUAAAUCUCAUGGUCAUGGGUUCGAUUCCCAAAUUGGGCAAAAGA